rnacentral:rRNA from 1 species
AGUGAACGCUGGCGGUAGGCCUAACACAUGCAAGUCGAACGGCAGCACAGUAAGAGCUUGCUCUUACGGGUGGCGAGUGGCGGACGGGUGAGGAAUACAUCGGAAUCUACUUUUUCGUGGGGGAUAACGUAGGGAAACUUACGCUAAUACCGCAUACGACCUACGGGUGAAAGCAGGGGAUCUUCGGACCUUGCGCGAUUGAAUGAGCCGAUGUCGGAUUAGCUAGUUGGCGGGGUAAAGGCCCACCAAGGCGACGAUCCGUAGCUGGUCUGAGAGGAUGAUCAGCAACACUGGAAUUGAGACACGGUCCAGACUCCUACGGGAGGCAGCAGUGGGGAAUAUUGGACAAUGGGCGCAAGCCUGAUCCAGCCAUACUGCGUGGGUGAAGAAGGCCUUCGGGUUGUAAAGCCCUUUUGUUGGGAAAGAAAAGCAGCAGGUUAAUACCCCGCUGUUCUGACGGUACCCAAAGAAUAAGCACCGGCUAACUUCGUG